rnacentral:misc_RNA from 1 species
GAUCGAGGUAACAGCAGAGU